AUGGAUGGCAUCCUUCUGAAACCUAUUGAAUCAAAGUGCAACCUGAACAGCAGGGUCAGUACUCUGACCAUAGACAUGAAGGAGUGGACCAAAGUGAACAAACUCCAGUGUUCGGCCAUGAAGAGUGGUGAAGUCACACCGGUCAUUCAGGACCUCAGCUUCACCAAAGGAUGUCGGAGCCCCUUCAGUGUCCGUCCACCUUCUCCCGGAGGAAGACACGAAGGAGGAGGGGAAGUGACUCUGGUGUGCCUGGUGGUCAGCCCGUCUCUCUGUGACGUCUACAUCAUGUGGAAGGUGGGCAGAGGCGAGUACCAGGAGGGGCUCACCAGCCGUCCUCAGAAAACCCCGGAAGGCAACGACUCUGUUACCAGCGUCUUCACCACCACCAAGAAUGAGUGGCAGAGAAACGUGCAUUUCACAUGCGCCGUCAAGUACGCCGGCUCGGACAACAACACCGCACCUAAGGAGAGGAGUGUGUCGAAGUCCAUGGAGAACAUCCUACUGACUGAGCCUGAGGCGGGCUUCGCUCUGAGCUGCACGGACAACGAUGAGGAUGAGUUCAGCAGCCUUUGGUCCACCACCUCCUCCUUCAUCAACCUCUUCCUUCUUUCCCUCACGUACAGCACAGUGCUCAGCCUGGUCAAGAUGAAGCAGUGAAGAACACAUGAUGGACUGCAUAGAUAGAUGUGUCUAGAUUAGAAAGGAAAUGGUCUAGAAUGGUUAUGGCAUAGUGUUCUUUAGUAAUAAUGUUAUGUAUAUAUCCAAUACGUUAUUGAUUAUGAUUGAUUAGUAUUGUUGUUCUCAAUAUUAUACAAGCAUUGUGGUGAUAUGUUAUUUUUCAUUCAUUGAUUUAUAUUGUAUCCUGUGUAUCCUGUGAUGUU